CGGGGGGGUUUUCCGGGAUUUUUUGGGGCGUAAAGCGCGCGCAGGUGGUUUCUUAAGUCUGAUGUGAAAGCCCACGGCUCAACCGUGGAGGGUCAUUGGAAACUGGGAGACUUGAGUGCAGAAGAGGAAAGUGGAAUUCCAGGUGGAGUGGUGAAAUGCGUAGAUAUCUGGAAGAACACCAAAGGCGAAGGCAACAUCCUGGGGAGUCACUGACGCUCGGGUGCGAAAGCUAGGGGAGCGAACGGGAUUAGAUACCCCGGUAGUCCUAGCCGUAAACGAUGACCACUAGGCGUUGGGGGUAUCGACCCCUCCAGUGUCGCAGUUAACACAAUAAGUGGUCCGCCUGGGGAGUACGGUCGCAAGAUUAAAACUCAAAGGAAUUGACGGGGACCCGCACAAGCAGCGGAGCGUGUGGUUUAAUUCGAUGCAACGCGAAGAACCUUACCAGGACUUGACAUGCAAAUGCACCAGCGGUAACGCGCUGUCUCCUUCGGGAGCGUUUGCACAGGUGCUGCAUGGCUGUCGUCAGCUCGUGUCGUGAGAUGUUGGGUUAAGUCCCGCAACGAGCGCAACCCCUAUCGUUAGUUGUAUUUUUCUAGCGAGACUGCCGGUCAAACGGAGGAAGGAGGGGAUGACGUCAAGUCAGCACGGCCCUUACGUUCUGGGCUACACACACGCUACAAUGGUCAGGACAAUGGGAUGCGAACCCGCGAGGGGGAGCAAAUCUAAGCAAACCUGAUCUCAGUUCGGAUUGGAGGCUGCAACCCGCCUCCAUGAAGUUGGAGUUGCUAGUAACCGCAAGUCAGCACAUUGCGGUGAAUACGUUCCCGGGUCUUGUACACACCGCCCGUCACACCACGAAAGUCGGCAACACCUGAAGCCGCCAGGCUAACCCGUAAGGGAGGCAAGCGUCGAGGGUGGGGUCGGUGAUUGGGGUGAAGUCGUAACAGGUAACC
rnacentral:rRNA from 1 species